rnacentral:misc_RNA from 1 species
AAGUCGUAACAAGGUUUCCGUAGGUGAACCUGCGGAAGGAUCAUUAACGAAUAACUAUGGCGUUGGUUGUAGCUGGCUCCUCGGAGCAAUGUGCACGCCCGCCAUUUUUAUCUUUCCACCUGUGCACCGACUGUAGGUCUGGAUACCUCUCGCCUCCGGGCGGAUGCGAGGGUUGCUCGUAAGGGCUUCCCUUGAACUUCCAGGCUCUACGUCUUUUUACACACCCCAAUAGUAUGAUGCAGAAUGUAGUCAAUGGGCUUCUCAGCCUAUAAAACACUAUACAACUUUCAGCAACGGAUCUCUUGGCUCUC